UUACAAAAUAUUAUCCUGAUAAACAUUUUCGUAUUGUGUCUACAAAUAGUCUAUGUAUAGGUAGUUUUUUUCCUUUUUAAGGACACUCUGCCAACUGCCUUACGCUCGUCGGCUGUUUAUUGUUUCACUUGUCCCAGCUGCCAGGCUGAGUAUAAGGGUAGCACCUUGCGCUCACUUAUAAACCGAGCCAGCGAGCAUUUAGGCCAGUCUGCCAGAACAGGGCGCCCGCUACACAACGCCCCAUUUUCCGCGAUACGGGACCACUGCCUCUCAUACCACUGAUGAUGACAUAAGAUGAAAUGUCGAAACGUUUGGCCCAUUAAAGAUGCUGCUCGUAGCUACCUUAGUUAUUGCUUUCCUGCUGAAAAUACGAUUUCCCAGAAAUCAACCUGUUUCGGAU
rnacentral:lncRNA from 1 species